ensembl:lncRNA
CGAAGACAUUUGCCACUUAAUACCGGUGUCCACUCAGACUCGCAUGCACUGAAUAGGUCUCAUGAAAGCCAGCCACAGUCCCCCAGCGGGCAGGAGAGAGAAAGCUUCGGACUGAGAUCUGAAGGCCUGGCGUGGGGAAGGCCUCUGUCGUCGAGUGCGAGUAAUACGUGAAAAGGACAACAAGACCUUCCAUUCUGUUCGGAAAGGGAUCAUCUCCAAGGGGACCCACAAACACCGCAUAGGCUCUGUAUUUGAUGCAACCUCCUCCCUGACAUCAGGACCAUCUCCACCUUUACCCCCAGUCUUUGCCACAGCCAAUUCCUGGAGAUCAAUUUCCAUGUCAGAAUCUUUUUU